rnacentral:rRNA from 1 species
GACGAACGCUGGCGGCGUGCCUAAUACAUGCAAGUUGAGCGCUGAAGGUUGGUACUUGUACCAACUGGAUGAGCAGCGAACGGGUGAGUAACGCGUGGGGAAUCUGCCUUUGAGCGGGGGACAACAUUUGGAAACGAAUGCUAAUACCGCAUAAAAACUUUAAACACAAGUUUUAAGUUUGAAAGAUGCAAUUGCAUCACUCAAAGAUGAUCCCGCGUUGUAUUAGCUAGUUGGUGAGGUAAAGGCUCAACAAGGCGAUGAUACAUAGCCGACCUGAGAGGGUGAUAGGCCACAUUGGGACUGGGACACGGCCCAAAAUCCUACGGGAGGCAGCAGUAGGGAAUCUUCGGCAAUGGAAGAAAGUCUGACCGAGCAACGCCGCGUGAGUGAAGAAGGUUUUCGGAUCGUAAAACUCUGUUGGUAGAGAAGAACGUUGGUGAGAGUGGAAAGCUCAUCAAGUGACGGUAACUAAGCAGAAAGGGACGGCUAACUACGUG